rnacentral:rRNA from 1 species
GACGAACGCUGGCGGCGUGCUUAACACAUGCAAGUCGAACGGAAAGGCCCUGCUUUUGUGGGGUGCUCGAGUGGCGAACGGGUGAGUAACACGUGAGUAACCUGCCCUUGACGUUGGGAUAACUUCAGGAAACUGGGGCUAAUACCGGAUAGGAGCUCCUGCUGCAUGGUGGGGGUUGGAAAGUUUCGGCGGUUGGGGAUGGACUCGCGGCUUAUCAGCUUGUUGGUGGGGUAGUGGCUUACCAAGGCUUUGACGGGUAGCCGGCCUGAGAGGGUGACCGGCCACAUUGGGACUGAGAUACGGCACAGAACCCUACGGGAGGCAGCAGUGGGGAAUAUUGCACAAUGGGCGGAAGCCUGAUGCAGCAACGCCGAGUGCGGGAUGACGGCCUUCGGGUUGUAAACCGCUUUCGCCUGUGACGAAGCGUGAGUGACGGUAAUGGGUAAAGACGCACCGGCUAACUACGUG